CAGUCGCCACGGUAAUACGUAGGGUGCGAGCGUUAAUCGGAAUUACUGGGCGUAAAGCGUGCGCAGGCGGUUGUGUAAGACAGGUGUGAAAUCCCCGGGCUUAACCUGGGAACUGCGCUUGUGACUGCACAGCUAGAGUAUGGCAGAGGGGGGUGGAAUUCCACGUGUAGCAGUGAAAUGCGUAGAGAUGUGGAGGAACACCGAUGGCGAAGGCAGCCCCCUGGGCCAAUACUGACGCUCAUGCACGAAAGCGUGGGGAGCGAACAGGAUUAGAUACCCCAGUAGUCCCUGUCUCUUAUAC
rnacentral:rRNA from 1 species